GGCGGACGGGUUAGUAACGCGUGGGAAUGUGCCCUUCACUGCGGAAUAGCCUCUGGAAACGGAGAGUAAUACCGCAUACGCCCUUAGGGGGAAAGAUUUAUCGGUGAAGGAUCAGCCCGCGUCUGAUUAGAUAGUUGGUGGGGUAAUGGCCUACCAAAUCUACGAUCAGUAGCUGGUUUGAGAGGAUGAUCAGCAACACUGGGACUGAGACACGGCCCAGACUCCUACGGGAGGCAGCAGUAGGGAAUCUUGGACAAUGGGCGCAAGCCUGAUCCAGCCAUGCCGCGUGAGUGAAGAAGGCCUUAGGGUCGUAAAGCUCUUUCGCUAGGGAUGAUAAUGACAGUACCUAGUAAAGAAACCCCGGCUAACUCCGUGCCAGCAGCCGCGGUAAUACGGAGGGGGUUAGCGUUGUUCGGAAUUACUGGGCGUAAAGCGCGCGUAGGCGGAUUGGAAAGUUGGGGGUGAAAUCCCAGGGCUCAACCCUGGAACUGCCUUCAAAACUAACAGUCUAGAGUCCGAGAGAGGUGAGUGGAAUUCCGAGUGUAGAGGUGGAAUUCGUAGAUAUUCGGAGGAACACCAGUGGCGAAGGCGGCUCACUGGC
rnacentral:rRNA from 1 species